GAAAGCGGUGCUAAUACCGGAUAAGACUACGCUGUCUACGGGCAGCGGGGUAAAAGGUGGCCUCUCCAUGGGAGCUAUCACCUGAGGAUGGGCCCGCGGCCUAUUAGCUUGUUGGUGGGGUAACGGCCUACCAAGGCGACGAUGGGUAUCCGGCUCGAGAGGGUGAACGGACACACUGGCACUGAGACACGGGCCAGACUCCUACGGGAGGCAGCAGUGGGGAAUUUUGCGCAAUGGGGGAAACCCUGACGCAGCAACGCCGCGUGAGUGAUGAAGGUCUUCGGAUCGUAAAGCUCUUUUAGUGGGGAAGAAACAUCCUGAGGCUAAUACUCUCAGGACUUGACGGUACCCACAGAAAAAGUUCCGGCUAACUACGUGCCAGCAGCCGCGGUAAUACGUAGGGAGCAAGCGUUGUUCGGAAUCAUUGGGCGUAAAGAGCGCGUANGUGGUUUGGUAAGUCCGGUGUGAAAGCCCACAGCUCAACUGUGGAACUGCAUUGGAAACUGC
rnacentral:rRNA from 1 species